rnacentral:tRNA from 1 species
UCCUGCUCGCUGAGCAGGUAGUCGAUUUCUUUUUCCGUGAGAAAAUUCGGCAGCUUUCCAUCGGGCUUUGGGGUUCGAAGCCCUGUAACAGGAU